rnacentral:lncRNA from 1 species
GUAGACGAAAUACCGCAAAGCACUUCGCCCGGCGUGCUAACGUUUCUGCCAGCUCGACGCCUUAAAAUACCUAUUUCUCUACUCCCCACACGGGGGCUAAACACAGAGAGGACAAACAAGGACAGACAAACGGAUUAAGCUGAUUAUAUCAACCCCAGUGCGUAACUGGUACUUAUUUAAUCGAACCCGAAACGAUGAACGGCAAAGUCGACCUCGGCGGAAUUUGAACUCAGAACGUAGCGGCAAAUGAAAUACCGCAAAGCAUUUCGCGCGGCGAGAUAACGUUUCUGCUAGCUCGCCGCAUUAAAAUACCGCUAACGGUUUUGUCAGUACGCCAUCUUUGAAUAAACUAAUAAUAAAAUUAUUUUUGGAGUUAUUAAUGCAGGAAGUUAUUCUCAAGUUCCAGAAAGAUUUGGAGAUAUUUAGUCGCUUUAUCACUUGGCAUUAUUUAAUAUUGUCAUUGUCUUCGAUUUCCAGUAAGGUUAAUUUAGCAACUUUAAUGACACUUUCUAAUAUUCUGGAAGUAAUUUCUCUAUAUUGUGGUGUAAGGUGCCAUAUAUAUUUCCGUUGUCUGUAAUCUUUCCAUUAACGAUCUGUUAAUGUCUAAACUAUACUACAUUUAUUCUUAUAGAAUCGAUACGUACAUUAAACGGUAUUGCAGUCUAAGCUGUUAUGAUCCUACUGGCAUUUCAGACAAAAUCUUAGAUUUUUAUCUUAAAAUAAAUAUCUCAGAAAUAAAUCUUUUUUGGACAUAAUUACUUCAGGAUGAGGUAUAUAAUAUCAGUCGUUACUUUUAGCUUAAUAACGGCCCAUAAAAAUUAGCUAUGCUAACGAGUAAAAUAUCGUUCUACUUAUGGCUUUAAAUUAUUCCUCAGUUUCAUGUGGUAUCUUUGUCAGUCAUCUACUCUCAUGUCAUCUAAUUGUCUUAUUAUAAUUUGUCACUUUAACUUUAGUAGACGCACACACUUACACACACACACACACACACACACACACACACACACUCGCACACACACAUAUAUAUAUAUAUAUGUGUGUAUAAAAAUGAAAAUAACACUGACAUUUUCAUAAACUAAAGAAUAAAUUUUUUCAAUAAAAUCGUCAUUGGCUUCAACCACCCACUCCAGAAGACUUAGGAAUCUGCUGUAACUCUUCUGGACGGUCUGAAUGCUACCAUAAUCUUCUGAAUGCUGCUAUAAUCCUUACCUUCAGUUCUUCUUUAGUGUUACAAGGAGUUUUGUUGGUCUUUCGCUCAACUGUGCCCCAAACAUAUUUAUGAAGAGGGUUGCAGCCUGGAUAGUUAGGUGGCAAGAUGUAGAUGUGAUGUGGUCGCAGAAAUUGUUUGACAACUAUGACAUGGUUCUCCUGCUUGUUUGGCACUAGUCCUUUUGCCAGAAGGGUCUUCCAGCAGUCACCUUUUCGACCCAGAGCAGCACUAACUCCCCCUGGCACUUAGUGUAGGCCUCCCUGCUGAGCCUGAGGCCGUAUGGGAAGAUGAAUGGUGGUAUGAAAUUCCCGCCACUAGCUAACACUGCAAACACUAUGAUUUUGACUGGAUGUUUGAAUUUUAAAACUCUCGGUUAUAUGUACACAGAUUGCACUGUCCGCAGAUUGACACCCAUAUACCGUGAAUGCCAAACAGUACAGCAUGUCGUUUCUAAACCUCUGGCGGAGUGAAUAACGUCAAGGUGCUGAUUUUCUCGCAGACGGUGCCCAACUGACCCAACUAUACUGGGUUGUCGACAAAAUCAAAAAGAAACAAUGUGCAUGCGUUAAAUAAAAAAAUAUAAAAUGAUCACAAUUUACCCAUCGCACUCUGUAUAUACAUAUAAAAUUCUAUUUGGCAGUCUGUCUAACUAUCUCUGUAUGUACCUACCAGCGAAACUAUAUAAUACCUUCCAUCUAUCUAUAUAUGCAUAUAUACACAUACAUAAAUACAUACAUACACACAUACAUGCAUAAAAAUAUGUGGUAGCUAGAGUCAAAUAUGUUGUCUGAAACAGCACAUCUUUCUUAGAGACGAUAUGAUAAAUAUCUAAUAGAAAAAUACAUUAUCUCUUGGCUUCGAUGGACUAAGUAAGAUUGUCCUCAUUUCUUCUUUGCAAACAUUGAAGUAUUUCAGGCUUCUUCUAUCCACAUCUCUCAUCUGUAGUAAUCUGAAUUUAUUUCCCCCAUCAUUUACAGCUAUCACCCUUUACAUUCUUUUGCUAUCUGGAUAUUUUCAUUACCUGAAAACACUGGAAAAUUUUCUUGCACUGACAAGAUAUAUUCUCCUUUUGAUCUUUUAUCAUUUAUCAACUCCUCGAUAAAAUAAAUUCUCCAAUGCUAAUGCUGUUAAUUUAAAACUUUAUUUACCCAAUCUACCUCUGCGAAGCCUCGCGUGGUCUACAUGCAAAUAAGAGUAAAAUAAUCAAUAUUAUGGGGAAUACGAAUUCAUAAAACAUUACUAAAUAUUUAUACUUAUUUGUUUUUCUUAUGACAUUCAGAGAAGUAAUAUUUA